rnacentral:ncRNA from 1 species
ACUGUUUUUCUAGAUUCCAUAUAUAUGCCUUAGUACACAGUGUUUUUAUCUUUCUAUUUCACUCUGUAUGAUAGGCUCUAGGUUCAUCUGCCUCAUUAGAACUGACUCAAAUGCAUUCCUUUUUAUGGCUGAGUAAUAUUCCAUUGUGUAUAUGUACAGCUUCUUUAUCCAUUCAUCUGUCGAUGGACAUCUAGGUGGCUUCCAUGUUCUAGCUAUUGUAAAUAGUGCUGCACUGAACGAUGGGAUACAUGUGUCUUUUUCUACUUUGGUAAAGCCUCCAUCAGCCUUCUCCUGGCCUUGGCCAAAGGGUGGGAGCCAGUGGCUUUGGUGACUCUAGAUAACCUCGGGCUGAUUGCACACCCCCCAUGGCGGUGAGGACCUAUUCAAAUGUCUGCCUUAUCAACUUGCGAUGGUAAUCACUGUACCUAUCUUGGUGACCAUGGGUGAUGGGGAAUCAGGGUUCGAUUCCAGAGAUGGAGCCUGAGAAAUGGCUAGCACAUCCAAGGAAGGCAGCAGGUGUGCAAAUUACCCACUCCUGACAGGGGGAGGUAGUGACGAAAAAUAACAAUACAGGAUUCUUUCGAGACCCUGUCAUUGGAACUAGUCCACUUUAAAUUCUUUCACAAGGAUCCAUUGGAGAGU